UACGUAACAUGAUCCUUUACACUCCCCAAUAUAAUUUUUAGGUAAUUAAACAACUUGCGUAGCACCAGUAGAUGUCUUAUGGAUGGUAUCAUCGGAGUACAUACCAUGCUUGGUGGAGUCAUAUGUUUCACCAUCGCCCCAUAAUGCAUAAGCCUCUUCGCCGUGCACGGCAUCAUCUCCUAUCAACAGCUGCUCCUCCGACAUACGCAAUGGGAUUACCAAAUUUAUCACCACACAAAUGAUUGAGGUGAUAACCAAAUUCCACCCAAUGAUGAAUGCACCGCCAGCUAGUUGUUUGAGGAAUUGAACUCCACCGGAGCCACCAUAAACGCCACCUCUAGAAUUUGCAACAGGUAAAAAAAGGGAACAUAAUGUGGGCUCGGCAAAAAGGCCAGUCAAAGCACCGCCUAAAAGUCCAGCAACGGCAUGGGUGUGAAAGACACCUAGGGUGUCAUCUAUUUUUUGGAGAAGCGUCCAUCUUUUGUGUACAAUCAUCAUUGUGAACCAUGGAACACUACCUGAUAAUAUUCCCAUCACUAUUGCUGCCCAUCCUUGCACAAGACCUGCACCAGGAGUAAUACAAACAAGGCCGGUGAUCAUGCCUUGAACAGCGCCGAUUACAGAAGGUUUCUUGAAGAAAAUAACAUCAAGCCAAGUCCAAACCAGAAGGCUUGUAGCUGCGCAGAUGUUAGUGUUAAGGACGGCCAUUGAAGAGUCAAUAUUCGCAGAAUAAGGAUCUCCACCAUUGAAUCCUGCCCAUCCCAUCCACAGUAACCCUGCCCCUGCUAGCAUCAGCAGUACAUUAUUUGGUGGAAAUCUCUCUCUGUCCUUUGUUGAUCUUGGUCCUACCCAAAAAGCAGUAGUCAAUCCAGCAAUUCCAGAAGAAAGAUGAAUAACAUAACCACCAGAAUAGUCGAUAACACCCCAGUGAAACAAGAACCCUCCACCCCACAAGCUAAAAGCCCCCACAGUGUAAGAGAAGGUCAGCCACAGUGGCACAAAUGCCAUCCAAGCCUUUAUGUUCAUCCUCCCAAGCACCGAUCCCGCCAGCAAAAUAACUGUUAUUGCUGCAAAUACACACUGAAACCACACCAUCGAAGCCAUUGGAUAGUAAGGUGUAGCCAUGGUCGUUUCCACACCUCCAUUAUCGUAAUACUGAGUGGUCUCUGGCAGUUCAGCCUGUUUGAUCAAAAACUUCUGGCCCAAGGCAGGUCCAGCUUUUCCCCAGAAGGGCAACAGCUUGUCUCCGAACGACAUCUUGUAAGCCCAAACCACCCAGCAGAUGACCACUGCAGCGAAGGCGUAUAAGGCCAUGAAAGCCGAAUUCACAGCCCAUUUCUUCUUUACUAUGCUGCCAUAAAGAAUUACAAGUCCCGGCACGCUUUGAAGACCCACGAGUGUUGCCGAUAUCAUUUGCCAUGCGUUGUCUCCCUUGUUUAACCAGUCGGGAACUGCCGCCGAUGUGCCGCCUUGGUAUGCGACGGGUACGGGGUUUGGGGGAGGAGCUGAAAUGGCCAUGGGGGUGGCGUGGAUCAGCUUCUCUAUUUCUAGUUUUGUUAGAA
rnacentral:misc_RNA from 1 species